GGCUGUGGCAGAAGAUGCAAUUCUGCUCAUGGGAACGAGGAAGAGGACUGCUGACUCACUUGCGUCCUCCACCAGAAGACAGUGACAUGACACAAAUGGUAGCACAGAGCUCUUACUGCUCCAUUCAAUAAGGGAUCCUCCACGGACAGACUGUGACUCCCCAAAGGUUGCAGGGAGAGCUGUUCAAGUGGAGGGGCACACCUUGUCAAUUGCUGAACGACCUCCUUUGUAAAUUGAGUGAGAGCGUGCG